rnacentral:rRNA from 1 species
UUAGAAGUGAGAAUGCCGGUAUGAGUAGCGAAAGAGGGGUGAGAAUCCCCUCCACCGAAUACCUAAGGUUUCCUGAGGAAGGCUCGUCCGCUCAGGGUUAGUCGGGACCUAAGCCGAGGCCGAAAGGCGUAGGCGAUGGACAACAGGUUGAUAUUCCUGUACCACCUCCUCACCAUUUGAGCAAUGGGGGGACGCAGGAGGAUAGGGUAAGCGCGGUAUUGGAUAUCCGCGUCCAAGCAGUUAGGCUGGGAAAUAGGCAAAUCCGUUUCCCAUAAGGCUGAGCUGUGAUGGCGAGCGAAAUAUAGUAGCGAAGUUCCUGAUUCCACACUGCCAAGAAAAGCCUCUAGCGAGGUGAGAGGUGCCCGUACCGCAAACCGACACAGGUAGGCGAGGAGAGAAUCCUAAGGUGAUCGAGAGAACUCUCGUUAAGGAACUCGGCAAAAUGACCCCGUAACUUCGGGAGAAGGGGUGCUCUGUUAGGGUGCAAGCCCGAGAGAGCCGCAGUGAAUAGGCCCAGGCGACUGUUUAGCAAAAACACAGGUCUCUGCGAAGCCGUAAGGCGAAGUAUAGGGGCUGACGCCUGCCCGGUGCUGGAAGGUUAAGAGGAGCGCUUAGCGUAAGCGAAGGUGCGAAUUGAAGCCCCAGUAAACGGCGGCCGUAACAAUAACGGUCCUAAGGUAGCGAAAUUCCUUGUCGGGUAAGUUCCGACCCGCACGAAAGGCGCAACGAUCUGGGCACUGUCUCAACGAGAGACUCGGUGAAAUUAUAGUACCUGUGAAGAUGCAGGUUACCCGCGACAGGACGGAAAGACCCCGUGGAGCUUUACUGCAGCCUGAUAUUGAAUGUUGGUACAGCUUGUACAGGAUAGGUAGGAGCCUUGGAAGCCGGAGCGCCAGCUUCGGUGGAGGCAUCGGUGGGAUACUACCCUGGCUGUAUUGACCUUCUAACCCGCCGCCCUUAUCGGGCGGGGAGACAGUGUCAGGUGGGCAGCUUGACUGGGGCGGUCGCCUCCUAAAAGGUAACGGAGGCGCCCAAAGGUUCCCUCAGAAUGGUUGGAAAUCAUUCGCAGAGUGUAAAGGCACAAGGGAGCUUGGCUGCGAGACCUACAAGUCGAGCAGGGACGAAAGUCGGGCUUAGUGAUCCGGUGGUUCCGCAUGGGAGGGCCAUCGCUCAACGGAUAAAAGCUACCCCGGGGAUAACAGGCUUAUCUCCCCCAAGAGUCCACAUCGACGGGGAGGUUUGGCACCUCGAUGUCGGCUCAUCGCAUCCUGGGGCUGUAGUCGGUCCCAAGGGUUGGGCUGUUCGCCCAUUAAAGCGGUACGCGAGCUGGGUUCAGAACGUCGUGAGACAGUUCGGUCCCUAUCCGUCGCGGGCGCAGGAAAUUUGAGAGGAGCUGUCCUUAGAACGAGAGGACCGGGAUGGACGCACCGCUGGUGUACCAGUUGUUCUGCCAAGGGCAUCGCUGGGUAGCUAUGUGCGGACGGGAUAAGUGCUGAAAGCAUCUAAGCAUGAAGCCCCCCUCAAGAUGAGAUUUCCCAUUCCGCAAGGAAGUAAGAUCCCUGAAAGAUGAUCAGGUUGAUAGGUCUGAGGUGGAAGUGUGGCGACACAUGGAGCUGACAGAUACUAAUCGAUCGAGGACUUAAUC